GUCCUGUAGAUGAAAAGAGAAAACUUCGAGAUCUAAUCCAGAGUACCACGAGACACGUGAAACCUUGUGGGAAGCAGGGAGGACCACCUCCCAAGGCUAAAUACUACCUAGUGACCGAUAGUGAAGCAGUACCGUGAGGGAAAGGUGAAAAGAACCCCGGGAGGGGAGUGAAAUAGAACCUGAAACCGUGUGCCUACAACCGAUCGGAGCACGUUAAAGUGUGACGAUGUGCUUUUUGUAGAACGAGCCAGCGAGUUACGCUAUGUAGCAAGGUGAAGUACUUAAGGUAUGGAGCCGAAGGGAAACCGAGUCUGAAAAGGGCGAAAAGUUGCAUGGUGUAGAACCGAAACCGGGUGACCUAUCCAUGGCCAGGUUGAAGCGAGAGUAAAAUCUCGUGGAGGACCGAACCACGUUGGUGUUGAAAAACCAUGGGAUGAGCUGUGGAUAGCGGAGAAAUUCCAAUCGAACUCGGAGAUAGCUGGUUCUCCCCGAAAUAGCUUUAGGGCUAGCGUCGUGUAAUUGAGUAAUGGAGGUAGAGCACUGAAUGGGCUAGGGGCUAUAGUAGUUACCGAACCCUAUCAAACUCCGAAUGCCAUAUAC
rnacentral:ncRNA from 1 species